GCGGGAAUAGCUCAGGUGGUAGAGCACGACCUUGCCAAGGUCGGGGUCGCGAGUUCGAGUCUCGUUUCCCGCUCCA
rnacentral:tRNA from 2 species